CCACCGCGGUUAUACGAGUAACUCACAUUAAUACUUCACGGCGUAAAGGGUGAUUAAAAGUUUCUAAAAAGUACUAAAGUUAUAACCUUAUAAAGCUGUCAUACGCACCUAUAAAAGGAAUAAUACACUGACGAAAGUAACUCUAACCAAACAGAGCUUUUGACCUCACGACAGUUAAGACACAAACUAGGAUUAGAUACCCUACUAUGCUUAACCAUAAAUAGACCUUUACCACUACUUACUUUGUUUAAGUCCGCCUGAGUACUACAAGCGCUAGCUUAAAACCCAAAGGACUUGGCGGUGCCCCAGACCCCCCUAGAGGAGCCUGUUCUAUAACCGAUAAUCCACGUUAAACCUUACCACUUCUUGCUUUUACCGCCUAUAUACCGCCGUCGUCAGCUCACCCCAUGAGGGUAUAAAAGUAAGCAUAAUGGACUUCCUCCAAAACGUCAGGUCGAGGUGUAGCGAAUGAAGUGGAAAGAAAUGGGCUACAUUUUCUCUCAAGAAAACACGGACAGUAGAAUGAAAAAUCACUCAUAAGGUGGAUUUAGCAGUAAGAAAAACUUAGGAUAUUUUUCUGAAACCGGCUCUGAGGCGCGCACACACCGCCCGUCACUCUCCUCAACCUUUACUACUCUAUUUUAUAAAUAAAUUUUUACCACAAGAGGAGGCAAGUCGUAACAUGGUAAGUG
rnacentral:rRNA from 1 species